UGAGGAACAUGACCUUCGGCGGGGGAUAGCCGGCCCAACGGCCGGGUAAUACCGCGUACGACCACUCGGGGACAUCCCCAGGUGGUGAAAGCAGCAAUGCGCCGAUGGAGUGCCUCGCGGCCUAUCAGCUAGUUGGUGAGGUAACGGCUCACCAAGGCGACGACGGGUAGCUGGUCUGAGAGGAUGGCCAGCCACAGUUGGGACUGAGACACGGCCCAGACCUCCGUACGGGAGCAG
rnacentral:rRNA from 1 species